rnacentral:piRNA from 1 species
UACAGUGAUCAGGUUACGAUGGAU